rnacentral:rRNA from 1 species
AUUAAACGCUGGCGGCAUGCCUUACACAUGCAAGUCGAACGGCAGCACGGGGGCAACCCUGGUGGCGAGUGGCGGACGGGUGAGGAAUACAUCGGGAUCUACCCUGUUGUGGGGGGAUAACGUAGGGAAACUUACGCUAAUACCGCAUAAGAACUGAGGUUGAAAGCGGCGGACCGCAAGGCGUCGCGCGAUUGGAUGAACCGAUGUCCGAUUAGCUAGUUGGCGGGUAAAGCCCACCAAGGCGACGAUCGGUAGCUGGUCUGAGAGGACGACCAGCCACACUGGAACUGAGACACGGUCCAGACUCCUACGGGAGGCAGCAGUGGGGAAUAUUGGACAAUGGGCGCAAGCCUGAUCCAGCCAUGCCGCGUGAGUGAAGAAGGCC